UUAAGCGACUAAGCGUACACGGUGGAUGCCCUGGCAGUCAGAGGCGAUGAAGGACGUGCUAAUCUGCGAAAAGCGCCGGCGAGGUGAUAUGAACCUUUGACCCGUCGAUGUCCGAAUGGGGAAACCCAGUGUGUUCCGACACACUAUCGUUAACUGAAUACAUAGGUUAACGAGGCGAACCGGGGGAACUGAAACAUCUAAGUACCCCGAGGAAAAGAAAUCAACCGAGAUUCCCCCAGUAGCGGCGAGCGAACGGGGAGCAGCCCGGAGUCUGAAUCAGCUUGUGUGUUAGUGGAACGGUCUGGAAAGUCCGACGGUACAGGGUGAUAGUCCCGUACACGAAAAUGCACAUGUUGUGAACUCGAAGAGUAGGGCGGGACACGUGGUAUCCUGUCUGAAUAUGGGGGGACCAUCCUCCAAGGCUAAAUACUCCUGACUGACCGAUAGUGAACCAGUACCGUGAGGGAAAGGCGAAAAGAACCCCGGCGAGGGGAGUGAAAAAGAACCUGAAACCGUGUACGUACAAGCAGUGGGAGCACCUUCGGGUGUGACUGCGUACCUUUUGUAUAAUGGGUCAGCGACUUAUAUUCUGUAGCAAGGUUAACCGUAUAGGGGAGCCGAAGGGAAACCGAGUCUUAACUGGGCGUUAAGUUGCAGGGUAUAGACCCGAAACCCGGUGAUCUAGCCAUGGGCAGGUUGAAGGUUGGGUAACACUAACUGGAGGACCGAACCGACUAAUGUUGAAAAAUUAGCGGAUGACCUGUGGCUGGGGGUGAAAGGCCAAUCAAACCGGGAGAUAGCUGGUUCUCCCCGAAAGCUAUUUAGGUAGCGCCUCGUGAACUCAUCUUCGGGGGUAGAGCACUGUUUCGGCUAGGGGGCCAUCCCGGCUUACCAACCCGAUGCAAACUACGAAUACCGAAGAAUGUUAUCACGGGAGACACACGGCGGGUGCUAACGUCCGUCGUGAAGAGGGAAACAACCCAGACCGCCAGCUAAGGUCCCAAAGUCAUGGUUAAGUGGGAAACGAUGUGGGAAGGCACAGACAGCCAGGAUGUUGGCUUAGAAGCAGCCAUCAUUUAAAGAAAGCGUAAUAGCUCACUGGUCGAGUCGGCCUGCGCGGAAGAUGUAACGGGGCUAAACCAUGCACCGAAGCUGCGGCAGCGACACUUAUGUGUUGUUGGGUAGGGGAGCGUUCUGUAAGCCGUUGAAGGUGUGCUGUGAGGCAUGCUGGAGGUAUCAGAAGUGCGAAUGCUGACAUAAGUAACGAUAAAGCGGGUGAAAAGCCCGCUCGCCGGAAGACCAAGGGUUCCUGUCCAACGUUAAUCGGGGCAGGGUGAGUCGACCCCUAAGGCGAGGCCGAAAGGCGUAGUCGAUGGGAAACAGGUUAAUAUUCCUGUACUUGGUGUUACUGCGAAGGGGGGACGGAGAAGGCUAUGUCAGCCGGGCGACGGUUGUCCCGGUUUAAGCAUGUAGGCGGAGGUUCCAGGUAAAUCCGGUACCUUAUUAACGCUGAGGUGUGAUGACGAGGCACUACGGUGCUGAAGUGAUAAAUGCCCUGCUUCCAGGAAAAGCCUCUAAGCAUCAGGUAACACGAAAUCGUACCCCAAACCGACACAGGUGGUCAGGUAGAGAAUACCAAGGCGCUUGAGAGAACUCGGGUGAAGGAACUAGGCAAAAUGGUGCCGUAACUUCGGGAGAAGGCACGCUGAUAUGUAGGUGAAGCCCCUGCGGGCGGAGCUGAAAUCAGUCGAAGAUACCAGCUGGCUGCAACUGUUUAUUAAAAACACAGCACUGUGCAAACACGAAAGUGGACGUAUACGGUGUGACGCCUGCCCGGUGCCGGAAGGUUAAUUGAUGGGGUUAGCGGCAACGCGAAGCUCUUGAUCGAAGCCCCGGUAAACGGCGGCCGUAACUAUAACGGUCCUAAGGUAGCGAAAUUCCUUGUCGGGUAAGUUCCGACCUGCACGAAUGGCGUAAUGAUGGCCAGGCUGUCUCCACCCGAGACUCAGUGAAAUUGAACUCGCUGUGAAGAUGCAGUGUACCCGCGGCAAGACGGAAAGACCCCGUGAACCUUUACUAUAGCUUGACACUGAACACUGGUCCUUGAUGUGUAGGAUAGGUGGGAGGCUUUGAAGCGUGGACGCCAGUCUGCGUGGAGCCGUCCUUGAAAUACCACCCUUUAAUGGCUGGUGUUCUAACGUAGACCCGUGAUCCGGGUUGCGGACAGUGUCUGGUGGGUAGUUUGACUGGGGCGGUCUCCUCCCAAAGAGUAACGGAGGAGCACGAAGGUUGGCUAAUCCUGGUCGGACAUCAGGAGGUUAGUGCAAUGGCAUAAGCCAGCUUGACUGCGAGCGUGACGGCGCGAGCAGGUGCGAAAGCAGGUCAUAGUGAUCCGGUGGUUCUGAAUGGAAGGGCCAUCGCUCAACGGAUAAAAGGUACUCCGGGGAUAACAGGCUGAUACCGCCCAAGAGUUCAUAUCGACGGCGGUGUUUGGCACCUCGAUGUCGGCUCAUCACAUCCUGGGGCUGAAGUAGGUCCCAAGGGUAUGGCUGUUCGCCAUUUAAAGUGGUACGCGAGCUGGGUUUAGAACGUCGUGAGACAGUUCGGUCCCUAUCUGCCGUGGGCGCUGGAGAAUUGAGGGGGGCUGCUCCUAGUACGAGAGGACCGGAGUGGACGCAUCACUGGUGUUCGGGUUGUCAUGCCAAUGGCACUGCCCGGUAGCUAAAUGCGGAAGAGAUAAGUGCUGAAAGCAUCUAAGCACGAAACUUGCCCCGAGAUGAGUUCUCCCUGAGACUUUAAGUCUCCUGAAGGAACGUUGAAGACGACGACGUUGAUAGGUCGGGUGUGUAAGCGCAGCGAUGCGUUGAGCUAACCGAUACUAAUGAACCGUGAGGCUUAACCUU
rnacentral:rRNA from 1 species